UCCUGAGGCACAUUACCGUGUAGUUUACACUCCCAAGCCCAAUGUGAACGUUACCAAACUGUUGCCUCGGCGGGGUCACGCCCCGGGUGCGUCCCAACCUCCGGAACCAGGGGCCCGCCGGAGGAACCAACCAAACAUCUUUCUGGAAUCCCCUCGCGGGGACGUAUUUCUUUAAGCUCUGAACCAAAAUUUAAAAUGGAUCCAAACUUUUAACAAGGGAACUCUUGGGUCCGGGAUCCAUGAAGAACCCCACCAAAUGGGAAAAAUAAUGGGAAUUGGAUAAUUCCGGGGAUUCUCCAAUCUUUGAACGCCACUUGGGCCCGGCAGUAAUCUGGCGGGCAUGGCUGUUCGAGCGGCCAUUCCACCCUCAGACCCCUUCGGGGGAUCGGCGUUGGGGAACGGGAACCCUUAAAAGAGUGGCGGCCCCUAAAUAAAGGGGGGGUCUUGAGUCCUGCUCGCCUGGGGAAGAGUUUGCAGCAACUCGCACCGGGAGCGCGGCGCGUCCACGUCCGUAAAACCCCCAACUUUCUGAAAAUUGUUGUUGGGAUCGGGUGGAGAACCCCGCGCCGGUUCACCCCCAGGUUACCGGGAGAGAGAG
rnacentral:rRNA from 1 species